CAGCAGCCGCGGGAAUACGGAGGGUGCAAGCGUUAAUCGGAAUUACUGGGCGUAAAGCGCACGCAGGCGGUCUGACAAGUCAGAUGUGAAAUCCCCGGGCUUAACCUGGGAACUGCAUUUGAAACUGUCAGGCUGGAGUCUUGUAGAGGGGGGUGGAAUUCCAGGUGUAGCGGUGAAAUGCGUAGAGAUCUGGAGGAAUACCGGUGGCGAAGGCGGCCCCCUGGACAAAGACUGACGCUCAGGUGCGAAAGCGUGGGGAGCAAACAGGAUUAGAUACCCCCAGUAGUCCCUGUCUCUUAUA
rnacentral:rRNA from 1 species